ACCAUGGCGUCUUCCUGUCGGUAAUUAGCGUCUGUGAGAAUUAGCUACGCCGCGCCACUCUGGCGACUUUCCGCCCCAGUGAGCCCACUUCGUGAGUCUAAUGGAAUUCUGUGCACCCGGCGGUCCGACUCGGAGAUGGGCAAGGUGACCGAGCGGCAGCAGUUGAAGGGGGAGCGAAUUGAUUUAGAAGGAUUUUAAAUACCAGAAGUGUCAGGCAGAUAAAGACCACAAGCCUCUUUCUUGAAGCUGAAUGAGGAGACUGGAAGGCAUCUCUUCAAAAACCAC